rnacentral:rRNA from 1 species
CGGAGGAAAGGAAACCAACCGGGAUUGCCUUAGUAGCGGCGAGUGAAGCGGCAAGAGCUCAAAUUUGAAAUCUAGCGCCUUCGGUGCUCGAGUUGUAAUUUGUAGAGUGGAUCCUUGGGGCCGUUCCUUGCCUAUGUUCCUUGGAACAGGACGUCAUGGAGGGUGAGAACCCCGUGUGGCGAGGGGUGCGGUUCCGUGUAAGGGCUGCUCGAAGAGUCGAGUUGUUUGGGAAUGCAGCUCUAAGUGGGUGGUAAAUUCCAUCUAAAGCUAAAUACUGGCGAGAGACCGAUAGCUAACAAGUACAGUGAUGGAAAGAUGAAAAGAACUUUGAAAAGAGAGUGAAAAAGUACGUGAAAUUGUUGAAAGGGAAGGGCAUUUGAUCAGACAUGGUGUUUUGCGCCCCCUGCUCCUUGUGGGUGGGGGACUCUCGCAGCUCACUGGGCCAGCAUCAGUUUUGGCGGCUGGACAAAGCCGGAGGAAUGUGGCUUCCCUCGGGAAGUGUUAUAGCCUACGGGAAUACAGCCAGCUGGGACUGAGGAACGCGACUUUUGUCAAGGAUGCUGGCAUAAUGGGUU